CGUCGUCAGCUCGUGUCGUGAGAUGUUGGGUUAAGUCCGUACGAGCGCAACCCUUGUCCUUAGUUACCAGCACGUUAUGGUGGGCACUCUAAGGAGACUGCCGGUGACAAACCGGAGGAAGGUGGGGAUGACGUCAAGUCAUCAUGGCCCUUACGGCCUGGGCUACACACGUGCUACAAUGGUCGGUACAAAGGGUUGCCAAGCCGCGAGGUGGAGCUAAUCCCAUAAAACCGAUCGUAGUCCGGAUCGCAGUCUGCAACUCGACUGCGUGAAGUCGGAAUCGCUAGUAAUCGUGAAUCAGAAUGUCACGGUGAAUACGUUCCCGGGCCUU
rnacentral:rRNA from 1 species